rnacentral:tRNA from 1 species
GGCCCAGUGGCUUAAUGGAUAAGGUAUCAGCCUCCAGAGCUGGGGAUUGUAGGUUCAAGUCCCACCUGCGUUG